CAAUGUUAACAAAAGAAAAAAAGAAGGAAAAAAAGUUAAGCUGGGUACUUUGCCAAGUAGCUCCAAGCAGUUAUGUUUUCAGUGCAACCAGAAAAAUCCAAUAUUGCCAAUAAAACUUCUAGCCCCAA